rnacentral:rRNA from 1 species
AGCCUGAUGCAGCAACGCCGCGUGAGGGACGACGGCCUUCGGGUUGUAAACCUCUUUUAGCAAGGAAGAAGCGAAAGUGACGGUACUUGCAGAAAAAGCGCCGGCUAACUACGUGCCAGCAGCCGCGGUAAUACGUAGGGCGCAAGCGUUAUCCGGAAUUAUUGGGCGUAAAGAGCUCGUAGGCGGUUUGUCGCGUCUGCUGUGAAAACUGGGGGCUCAACCCCCAGCCUGCAGUGGGUACGGGCAGACUAGAGUGCGGUAGGGGAGAUUGGAAUUCCUGGUGUAGCGGUGGAAUGCGCAGAUAUCAGGAGGAACACCGAUGGCGAAGGCAGAUCUCUGGGCCGUAACUGACGCUGAGGAGCGAAAGGGUGGGGAGCAAACAGGCUUAGAUACCCUGGUAGUCCACCCCGUAAACGUUGGGAACUAGUUGUGGGGUCCAUUCCACGGAUUCCGUGACGCAGCUAACGCAUUAAGUUCCCCGCCUGGGGAGUACGGCCGCAAGGCUAAAACUCAAAGGAAUUGACGGGGACCCGCACAAGCGGCGGAGCAUGCGGAUUAAUUCGAUGCAACGCGAAGAACCUUACCAAGGCUUGACAUACACGAGAACGCUGCAGAAAUGUAGAACUCUUUGGAC